rnacentral:rRNA from 1 species
AACUCGACUACAUGAAGCUGGAAUCGCUAGUAAUCGCAGAUCAGAAUGCUGCGGUGAAUACGUUCCCGGGUCUUGUACACACCGCCCGUCACACCAUGGGAGUCGGAUAUGCCCGAAGCCAGUGACCCAACCGUAAGGAGGGAGCUGUCGAAGGUGGAGCCGAUAACUGGGGUGAAGUCGUAACAAGGUAAC